AGCUCAUUUAUUUUUCAUAUACACCGUAAGCAGCAGCACCUAGGGUUCAGGAGAGACCUCUCCCUUGGGGAGUUAAUCUGAAGCUUGGUAGACAGAAAGCAGAAACUCCAACAACGAUUAACCUCAGAGUGUGAAUUACACUGAAGUGAUGCUCUCUGCCACACCCGCUGGCCUUCCAUUCAGCCUGGACCUGUUCACCAAGAUGGAAGCAGCACCUUACCUUUCUCCUGACUCAGUACUUGCGUCCUGGUAACUAUCCUCUGACCUUUGGCCAGGGCCUACAUGAGGUACAGGAACCAAGAAUGUUGAAUGCUUUAAUCAUUGUACCUGCUCCAGUCAAGAUUCCUAUGGAAGACUUAAAGCUAUGCGACUACCCAAGAUGACAAUGCCUGGCACCUACUGAAGGCCUUUAGAUGGACUCUCUGUAAGUCUGACUGC